AGGAAAGGGCCUGGCUGUGACAGGCUGUCUUAGGAUUCACCAUUGUCGUCCUGGACUGCUAGGCAUGGAACAUCGUGUGACCAACAUGAAGUUCUUCUCCCAGCCCACUGAUGGAGGGUCACGUUCCCCUCCCACAGACAGCAGGAUCCUGCCAGGAGCCCAGGCUCAGCAGAGACAUCCUCACCAUCCCCCAUGUUAUCACCAUGACAGCUCAGAGAGAGCCCCAGUGACCUGUGUCACAAUAGGAUCUUGUAGACAUGACUGUGACCUCCAAGCCUGGGUCAUAAAAGACAAUCACCCUGCCAGGCUGUCUCUGAGAGCAGCCAGCCACCAUGCCCUGCAGAUGCCCAAGCAGUCCUGUGGAGAGCCAUGUAUGGAGAGGAACCAGCCGUGUGAGGGAUUGCCGGGGAAGGGAGUCUUCUGGCCUCAGUCACACCUUCAGAUGAGACCACAGCCCCAAACACCCACCCAACUGCUCCCAAAUUGCUGACCUCCAGAAACCAGGAGAGCUCAUAUGUGUUGAUCGUUAUACGACUGGCCUUGGACCCCCAACAGCCCGAGAUGAUUCUCUUUGCAGUGGCCCCAGCAGCCCCCUAAGAUGCAACGCAACGUCCCUGGUCAGCAGGGGCAGCCACCAUAGUCCUCAGUGACCCAGCCCAGGGCCCAUCAGCGCUGUGGCCGAGACUUGGGCUGCAGAGGCUGGAAUGUGGCCUCUGAACAGCCUGCUGUGCACAGAGAAGGAAGAACAUGAAAACGUGAGCAAUGAAGCCAACAAUAACCCAUCAUUUAAAUCCUGCUUCUCACACUUUGUCUUGGAAACAAAAGUGAUCCAAGGAAUUCAUGCCCAGUCUCCACCCAACAGAACCCUGCUGAGGCAUCGAUGGCCUUGCAGAUCCUCUCCAGCAGGGCCUCCCAGGCUGGUGUGGUUCCUCUACUAGAAAUGUGAAAUCUUCUGUCACCAUAUACAUUUGGGAAAUGCCAGGAGCAUCUCCUCAGGAUUCAGCCCCAAAACGGAUGGGCAUGCGCACUGGGCAGGACCCAGCAGCGGAAGCUGAGUGCCAAUAUGCCACGCUGCCCACGGUCUGCCUGUCCACCUCUGGCAAUGUUAUGUUAGAAGUAAAGAGACGUCUACCUUCGUUAAGCCACUGCAUUUCAGGUCUCUCUAUUACGGCAGCAAGCCGUGCCCCCAAAGGAUGCACUGUGGUUGCACAUUCACCUGUGGCUCUAACACAGCGACACCUGUGCUCGUUCUGUCUGCUCAGCACCAUCCUUUCACCAGGGUGCUGCUCCCACCCAGCCCCGAGGUUCUGUGAAGUGAUGGACCCACCCUGCCCGGGCGCAG